CAGUCGCCGCGGUAAUACGAAGGGGGCUAGCGUUGUUCGGAAUUACUGGGCGUAAAGCGCACGUAGGCGGACAUUUAAGUCAGGGGUGAAAUCCCUGGGCUCAACCCCGGAACUGCCUUUGAUACUGGGUGUCUAGAGUAUGGAAGAGGUGAGUGGAAUUCCGAGUGUAGAGGUGAAAUUCGUAGAUAUUCGGAGGAACACCAGUGGCGAAGGCGGCUCACUGGUCCAUUACUGACGCUGAGGUGCGAAAGCGUGGGGAGCAAUCAGGAUUAGAUACCCCGGUAGUCCCUGUCUCUUAUAC
rnacentral:rRNA from 1 species